AACGAACGCUGGCGGCAGGCCUAACACAUGCAAGUCGAGCGGACCCUUCGGGGUUAGCGGCGGACGGGUGAGUAACGCGUGGGAAUAUGCCCUUCUCUACGGAAUAGUCCUGGGAAACUGGGGGUAAUACCGUAUACGCCCUUUGGGGGAAAGAUUUAUCGGGGAAGGAUUAGCCCGCGUUGGUUUAGGUAGUUGGUGGGGUAAUGGCCUACCAAGCCGACGAUCCAUAGCUGGUUUGAGAGGAUGAUCAGCCACACUGGGACUGAGACACGGCCCAGACUCCUACGGGAGGCAGCAGUGGGGAAUAUUAGACAAUGGGGGCAACCCUGAUCUAGCCAUGCCGCGUGAGUGAUGAAGGCCUUAGGGUUGUAAAGCUCUUUCAGCUGGGAAGAUAAUGACGGUACCAGCAGAAGAAGCCCCGGCUAACUCCGUG
rnacentral:rRNA from 1 species